CAAGAAUAUGGAGAAGAAAGGGGUUCUC
rnacentral:sRNA from 1 species